UUUAAUGUUUAUUGAUAUUUGAGAGAGAAGGAGACAGAGCACAAGUGGGGGAGGGGCAGAGAGAUGGAGACAGAAUCCAAAGCAGGCUCUGAGCAUCUAGCUGUGAGCUGUCAGUGCAGAGCCCAACACAGGGCUCGAACUCACGAGCAGUGAGAUCAUGACCUGAGCCGAAGUCCGACGCUUAACUGACUGAUCCACCCAGGUGCCCCGAAAUAUAAAAUUAAUCAGAAUCUCUAUCUUCUUCCAAAAUAACACAAAGACCUUGGAGUGUGUUAAUUCUAGGCACUUCUCACUUAAAUUCCAUGCUUCUGUUGCCUGACAUUGUGUUUCUACUGUCUCCCAAAAUGAAUCAUGACCAUCACUGUUUUUAGGGUUCAUUUAGAUUUACCUACUUGUAUACCAGUUUUUUGUUCUGUUUUGUUUCUUUAACCACUGUUCCUUGCAUCUCAUCCUUUGGGGUUCAAUUUUGGAUUUUUUUUUUGAGCGCAGAGCAUGCUUCAGAUCCUCUGUCCUCCCCUCUCUCUCUCUCAAAAAAGAAGACUCUUUUUUUCCCCAGCUUUAUUGAGAUAUAAUUGACAUAUAACAUUGUGUAAGCUCAAGAUGUACAGUGUGAUACAUGUAUACAUUGUGAAAUGUUCACCACAAUAAGGUUGGUUAACACAUCCUUCACAUAAUUCCCAAUUUUGUUAUUGUCUUGGUGAGAACAUUUAAGAUCUACUUGCAUAGAAACUUUAAAAAAAAUUUUUUUUAACAUUUAUUCAUUCUUGAGAGACAGAGAGACAGAGCACGAGUGGGGAAGGGGCAGAGAGAGAGAGGGAAACACAGAAUCCGAAGCAGGCUCCAGGCUCUGAGCUGUCAGCACAGAGCCCGAUGCGGGCCUCGAACUCACAAACCAUGAGAUCAUGACCUGAGCGGAAGUCAAACGCUUAACCGACUGAGCCACCCAGGUGCCCCGAAACUUUGAAGUAUACAGUACAGUAUUGUUACCUCUAUUCACCACGCUGUACAUUACAUCCUCGGAACUUACAAAAAUGAAAAUUUGUGCUCUUUGACCAACAUGUCCCCAUUUCCUCCACCCCCCAGGACUAGGCCUUGUUCUUUUAAUAGAUGUUGGAAAAGAUAAUUGCAUGCUGACCUCCCUUGGAUAGCUGAAUCAUGGUUAAUACUGGAUAGCCCGGGACAUCAUUGCAUGUAACACCCUGGGAGAAAAUAAGCAUCUUAAACCUAAUACAACAGUGAUGCUAGCCUCGUGCUCUUGGGUUGAGUGUUUUAAUACUUUUAAUUAAUUGCCAACUUUUCUCUUUCUAAAUCUUAAUGAAAAAAACGACUCACUAAAUCAUUGUACGACUCUCUCUUUGCCUUUGAUGAUCCUCUUCCAUAUAUAAUGGACUUUCUAUCUUCUAUGCCUCUUAGAGCCUUUCAUUUUUUUUCCCCAUGUCUUUAUUUCUUGGAGAGCAUCCUGGAUAACUUCCUCAGUUAUGUCUUCCAGUUCUCUUCUCAAUUUUGUCUCAUUAUUUGUCAUUUUCAUUUUCUUUUUUAAAACUUUCUGUUCUUUUUCUUUGAUGGCCUCUUCUGCCGACUUCUCAUCUUGUCUCUAAUACUCAUCUAUCAUUAUCCUUUCUUUCAGAUAUUCUAGUAUCUAAAGUUUGCGGGUGCUAAUCCUCUUGUAUGUUAUGUUUGCUGACUAUUACUCAUAGUAGAUUGUUUUCUUGUGUUUUGAGUUUGUGUAAGUCAGCUUCUCUUCAGUGAGGAUUUUUGAAAAUACCUUCUUAUUUUGGACUAAUUUUCGAUUUAGGCAGGGGUUGCAAUGACAAUACAGAGAUUUCCUGCCAGUCCUCCUAAUGUCAACACCUUACAUUAUUCUCUUAUAUUUAAAAACCAACACGGGCACUGGUACAUUGCUGUUAACUGAACUCCAGACUUCAUGCAGAUUUCACCAAUUUUGCUUCUAGUGCCCUUUUUUUGUGUUCAGGGACCCAAUUCAGGAUACCACAUUACAUUUAGAGAGAGGAUUGGUUUUUCUGUGGUAAUACCAUGCCAUCUGGGUUAUAGAAUUGUCCCUGCAGAGAGAUUUUGCAUGUGUUCAGCCAGGCACCCAGAAGUUUUGUUGAUCCAGAACCAGAUUUUAUAGUUGCUUCUCAGCUUGCGGAAUCCUAUACAACAUAGAUAGUAUAGAUUUAGAUUGCACACCUGUAUAUGCUUGUUAUUUCUGUAGUUUUUUUCUACUUUCCCCUUCACUGUAUUUAUGCAAGGUCAUGAGAUACAGAUCAUUGCUCAGUGUGGGCCCAAGGAUAUGUCUCUUGAUCCCCUGUAGGGGUUCAACUCUCAAGGCAUUGAGUAUGUUAGGUCCAGUAUCCCACCACACCCUCUACCCUGGUCAUUGAUGGAACACAAUUCAUGAGCCUGUUGCUCUAGCUUUAAGUUUCUUUGUUUCUGUCUCUUGGUGAUUCAUCUUUGUCUUUAGAUGUAUAGUUAAUUCUUUUUUUUUUAACUUUUUUAAAUGUUUCUUCGUUUUUGAGAGAUACAGAGCACAAGUGGGGGAAGGGCAGAGAGAGAGGGAGACACAGAAUCCAAAGCAGGCUCCAGGCUCUGAGCUGUCAGCACAGAGCCCGACGCAGGGCUCGAAGUCACGAACCUUGAAUCAUGACCUGAGCCAAAGUCGGAUGCUUAACCGACUGAGCCACCCAGGUGCCCCAUGUAUAGUUAAUUCUUAAACAUAUUUUUUAUCCAGUAUUUGAGGUUCUGCCUAGUGUAUAUGGCUUCCUUUUCCCCCCAGUGUUUCAUGUUGCCAGGACCUAUACUCUGUUAUCUGCAGUGUAUUACAUAUUGUCCCCUUGUUCUCUAACUGUUUCAUUUGUAAGUAAUUUCACUCACAGUUGCUUAGGAUAUUUUGAUAGUGUUCUUGAGGGUGGGGACAAUGUCAAUACUGCCUUUAUAUCCCCACAGUGACUAGCAAAGAAGAAAGACCAUUUUAGGUUCUCAAAUUACUUUAUAAAUAACGAAUGAAUGAACUCCAAGUCCUUAAACUAUGUGCCAGAAGCUGAACUGGUCCUCUGGACAUAUAUUGUCUUAGUUUAUUUUAGUUGUUCCUUGAGCCCUAUUUGUUGUUUUAUCUCUAGAAUUCUGUGGCAUUCUAUUUUUGCCUCGUGUCUUGUUUUCCAUUGAAUGUAUUACUAUUUUUAUCCCAUGGAUUUGUCAUAGUUUCUCCCACUGUCCUCAAUAUAAAUAACUUUUCAUGUCUUGAGUAGUACUGGUGUGAUCCAACCUGGAUUCUUAUUUAGAUUUAUAGUUAUAAUCCUCAGAUUUUUGUUUCUUGGAGGAGGAAAAGUGGUGGCCUCUGUCUCCUAGUAGAACCUUCAAGAUAACCUGCAUAAAUAGGCUAAGAAAGACUCAAUGUAUGCACAGAAAGCGUGACCUGUUACCCAGUACUGAUUGUCGCAGAGAGCUACCAGGCUAGGAGGAAUUCAUUGAUCUGUGCUUGGAUCCUUUUGACCCAGGAUGUGUGAUGUGUCCAUGGAGUAAUAGAAUUUAACCCAAAGAAGAGUAAUAGGAGACCUACUGGAUUUAGACUAUGGGGUAUGUGGAGAAGAUGUUGAUUAAUUUCUAUGUAUAUAGCAGAUCAUGCAAGCUACUAAUCUUUUUAGUAGAAUAAUUUGGGUUUGUACCCUUGAUAGUGAAAAGGUCAACGUCACACCUUCUAGGAAUACGGUUGUGCUAGUUUCCUAUUUAUUUAUUAAACAUUACCCCAUCACGUAGCCAUUCAAAUAACAAACAUUUAUUAUCACAGUUUCUGUGGGAUCAGGAAUCCAGGUGCGGCUUGGACGGGUGCCUCUGGUUCUCAAGGUGUCUCAUGAAGUUGUAGUUAAGCUAUUGGUUGGGGCCGUGAUCUCCUUUAAAGGCUCAGCUUGGGGCAAGGUAAUCAACUUCUAGCCUCAUUCAGGUGAUUGUUGACAGGCCUUGGUCCCUCGUCACAGGGGCCUUCCCAAGGGUUGCUCCGGCCCUCCGUAGGGGAGUUUGGCAGCUGACCUGCCCCAGGAUGAGAGGUCCAAGAGAGAGGGAGUAAGAGAGAACGUUUAAGACAGAAGCCACGUUCUUAUAACCUAAUCUCCGAGGUGCCAUGCCAUCACUUCUCUAAAAGGAAGUCAGGGACUAAGUCUAGUCCAUGCAGAAGGGAAAGGAGUCACACAAAGGUGUGAAUGCCAGCCGGCUGGGAUCAUUGGGGGCCAUCUGACAGGCUGCCUGGCACAACUACAUUUGCUUCCCUUUGGGACUUACUGAAUGACACACACAGUUAACCGAGAACAGCAACUAAACUAAGGAAGAAGGGUUCUGUACAGGUAAGUUCACACUCCACUGUCAUUAACCUUUGGUGUUUUCCACUCUUCAUUUUUUCAUGACUGGCCAAGGCUUGCUUUUUUUUUUUUUUUUUUCUUUUUUGCACCGCUUCCUCAAAUAUUUUUCUUUAGGAGUUAGAAUUCCUUAUGGUCAGCAAAAUCAAGUUUUGCUGCAAGUUUCCAAAUAUAUCAAAACUAUUUUUCCUUAUCUUGGAAGAUUUUCUCAUUUGUGCGUGUCUACUCUCUUUGGGGAAAAAAAAUCCUAGUAAUUGUCUCAUUUCUGUACUGCUACACACUUCUUGGUAAAAUAACCCUGAGGAGAAAUCAUUAAAAGUAGAUGACUUGGUAUUGGAUUUUUAACCCUUUCUUCCAUUACCUUUACUUCGUGAGGAUCCUUUUAAAUGAUGCUUGGUGCAGCGAGAGGAAUGGAGCAGUGGGGUUGAUAUUGGUUCUAUUUGUAAUUUCUUUGGUAGCAGAAAGGUUACAUUUUUAAAGGGACAUUGAUGAACCGAUAAAUGAGUAUGUCCAGAGUCCUCUCCAGAAUAGCAAGCAUCUAGAAAUCAUUCCAGGCCCGAAGGCACUUGUGAUAGUCUGGCUGUGCAAGUUUGUGUGCAGGGGGGUGGGGCAUGUUGGGGCGCUAUGGCAAAGCAUGGGAAAUAAUCUUUUUUAAGGAUUGAGUCCACGAGACCUCAAGCCUGGGUCUCCUCAAGCAUGCUCUCCUCCAGGGCGAUUUUAUCCAUCCCUGUGACUUCAGUUGCCAGGUAUAUGCUGGUGACUCCCAUCUUCAUGUAGCCAGCUUACAUGUGUCUCUGGAGCUACAGAUCUGUUCAGUUCAGCUGUCAACGACCACUGGGCUGAAAGAAUAGAAGCCCAGAGAGUGGUGACGGCAGGGAGGCCGACUCGGACAGCAAAUCAAGGGAAGGUCCAGACCAAUCUUGUUUGGACUAAAAGAAACAAGAACUUUUGAUGGACUUUAUCAAUGCAAUCAUUUCAUAGAUAUUUAUUGAGCACCUACUAUGUGCCAGGCACACUUCUUUUUUUAAAUUUUUUUUUAAUGUUUGUUUAUUUUUAUGAAAGACAGAGAGACUGAGUGCUAGCGGGGGAGGGGCAGAGAGAGAGGAAGACACAGAAACCAAAGCAGGCUCCAGGCUGUCAGCCCAGAGCCUAAUGUGGGGCUCGAAGUCACAAACUGUGAGAUCACGACCUGAGCCGAAGUUGGACGCCCAGCCGACUGAGCCACCCAGGUGCCCCAGCACACUUCUGAAUAUGGGGCUACAACGGUGACAAGACAGAGCAGGCCUUUGGCCUCGUGCGACUUAAAUUUUUAUGGAAGCAGGCAAGUGAUAGAUGUGUGAAUGAAUGAAAUUAGUGAUAUAUUUUAGAAAGAAAAUGAAAAUGGGUGAAGUUGAUGACAUCAAACGGUCCAACUUGCGCUAUAUGUUUGAAUUUGUUUUUGAGCUUGGGCAGUCAGUCUCUGACACCAUCUCAUUGGAAUUAAUUUAGAUGUGAGCUGAGGUCCACCUGAAGCUUUGGGUUGGGCAGUGUGCUACAGGUGGCUGCGUGGAUGGAUGGAAACCAGCCAUUUAUGGUUAUGUAAGCCAGGCUGAAAACCUCCCCCGCCCCGCCACCGAUAAGAACCCUGAAGACACUUCCACAAAUUCAGUUAAUCACUAAUCAAGGUUAUUCCCUUGCAAAGCAGAGCUAACUUCAUACGGAAGAGCAUAACAACUGUGCCCGUGUGUGCACAUUUCACAAGGAGUGUGCGUGCUAUAAUCAUGGUUGACUAGCUUCGUGGACGAGCUCUGGCCCUUCCCCUGCAGAACCACAACGUUUCUAUGUGUUGUGUAUAUGGGGCUUGCUGGCGAGAUUGGAGUUGAAGAAAGGGUUUCAUAGCUUUCAGAAGAAAGUUUGAAAAUCACGGAGUUAGAUCAUGAUGCUACACAAAAUGUGGCCUAGAUCAGGGGCGGGGCUUCACCAGGAGCUUGUUACGCACGUAGAAUCUUAUGCCCUGCCCCAAAUCUGAAUAGGAAUCUGCAUUUUAACAGGAUCUCCAGGGGAUGCAUAUUCACAAAAAUUUGAGAAGUACUCAUUUAGGCCACUGGUUUCCAAACUUGGCUGUGCGUUGGAAUCACCUGAGAGUGAAACCUUCCCGGAGGAUUCUGAUGUACAGCCAAGUCUGAGAACACUGAUUUAGGCCACAGACUGAACCCUAAGAAUGAUCAGUGUCCUGAAAAUGUGGGCUGUUUGGCCACCUGGAGAACCAGGUUUAUAGUGUCAGUCAAUUCACUAGAACCCUCUACCAGUGGGGUGAGGUGACAGCCUCCCACCGCACCCCAGUCCAACAUCCCCCUUGUGUAUGGAAGCUAGUGCAUAAUGAAUGGAGAAUGGCUAUUCUUGUAAGUGGGCGGGGGGAGUGGUGAGGGCAUUGAGGAUUCCUUUCCAGCAGAUGGUAUCAUUUAUCAGCUGGUGUAGACAGCAGCAAGAUCUCAUUUAUAUGCAGUGAUUUUCCCUCUUCACCAGGGAUUAACUCAGUAGAAACACUCAGACCAGCCUGCCUGCUACUCACCCUAUCCAGUUUAAAUUUAUUUUAUGUAAUUGUAUGCAAUAAUUUAUCCGUGAGAUUCCUCCAGGGGAGGAAGCCACAUGGAUCGCUCAAACCGCGGAAGGCAGUAAACAGAAUGGCCUUAUGCAUUUGUUAAGUCAUAAAGCAAAUAGCAGGGGAUUGUUGAGGGAGGGGAGAAGGUGGCUGAACAUUCAGAAGAGGAUACCUUUUGGGGGGGCGCUUCUUCCUUUCACCUCCUCUGUCUCCCAGAAAGAUGGUUCAACAAAUUCAUUCUGCAUCAGGCAUUGCCGAUUUUUUUUUAAAUGAAUACUGAAUCACGGAAACAGGCAAGCACAGACUCUAUGCUUUAAAUUCCAGUGUGUUCCGUUCUCUGUGGUCCCAGAGUUGCUUUAACAGAACAAGUGGAGGGGAGCUAAGAGAAGGUGUAUGUGAAGUUCUGUUUUCUUGCUCAAGAAGCAGGCCACACCGAGCUUAUGGCUGUGGGACAUGCAUGCCGGCCCACAAUAACAAGCAAGAAGUCUAAGCCAGUACCUUCAGCAGGAAGGUAUUCUUUCAUUUAAUAGAUGAAGGUGCUAAGGCUUCCAAGAGUUGUGAUCUUCCAAACCCAGCGUCCACGACAGCUGAAAACACCAGAAUGUGCUUAUGUUGCAAACCUGGAAUUCCUACCCCAGACAGGAGUACCAUUUCACACAAAUUAAUCGUGGAGAUACCCACUGCCCAUCGACAGGUGCACAUAGGAUCAAUGGGGAAAUACAGAGUAGCCAAACCACUUGGAGAUAAAUUAUUACAAGUGAUUCUCUAUCCACCCAGUUCUUUUGACCUAAUAGCAUUUCGUUUCAAAAGAGACCCUGACCCUUCUUUGUUAGAGAUCUGUGCUGGGCCUUCUUCCGAGGAAGAGACAGGAAGUCCAAAACCUGGCUGUCUGCCCCAGAGCAACCCUUAGUCCAUCAAGCUGUUCUGAAUGAAGAAUUGUAAUCUUCUCCGUAAUCUUCUUUCUGUUUUUCUUGUGGUAACAACACAUAACAUCUGCCCUCUUAACAAGUUAUAAGUGAGCAAUACAGUAUUGUCAUCUAUAAGCAUGAUGUACAGAUCUCUAGAACUUACGCAUCUUGCUUAACUGAAACUUUGUAUCCAUCGAACAGCAACUCCCCACUUCCCCCUCUCCCUAGCGCUUGGAAACCACCAUUCUACUUUCAGCUUCUAUGAGUUUCAACAAACCUGUAUGCCGUAAGAUCCUUGUUAACAGGAAAUCGUGACUUGGUUUGAGGAUUCUCUAAUUUCUUUUCAUCUUCCUGAUUCUGGCGUCUCCAUACCGUCACUAUUAUUAGGAAGACAUGCUCCCAUAGGUACAAAAAUGGUGGUGGGAGGGGGAAGACAGUAACAUCAUUGCUGUUGUAUCAGCUAGAACAAGGAUUGAAAUGAUCAAUAGACUUUAUUUCAGGCCCUCCCCCCAAAUAAUUUUAUAUUAGCCAUAUAGAUCUUUGGGAGUAAACAAUGAGUAUUAAUCUUCCAAAUGUUCAGUUCUUGAUUCUGAUUGCAAGAAUUGGGAAGAUAUUUGGGGGGCACAGGUGCUUUGGGAUAAGGAUAAGUCUAGGCAAUCUCUAGCCUUGUUGAAAUUUUAAAUUUAAAAGUAAAUUGCAAGGGGUGCCUGGGUGGCUCAGUCGGUUAAGCAUCCAACUCUUGAUUUCAGCUCAGGUCAUGAUCUCAUGGCCUUGAGACGGAGCCCUGCAUUGGACUCCAUGCCAGGCAUGGAGCCUGCUUAAGAUUCUCUCUUGCCCUCUCCCUCUGCCCCUGCCCUGCUCGCUCUCUCUCUCUCUCUCUCUC